rnacentral:rRNA from 1 species
GACGUAGGGCGCAAGCGUUGUCCGGAUUUAUUGGGCGUAAAGAGCUCGUAGGCGGCUUGUCGCGUCGACUGUGAAAACCCGCGGCUUAACUGUGGGACUGCAGUCGAUACGGGCUAGCUAGAGUUCGGUAGGGGAGACUGGAAUUCCUGGUGUAGCGGUGAAAUGCGCAGAUAUCAGGAGGAACACCGGUGGCGAAGGCGGGUCUCUGGGCCGAUACUGACGCUGAGGCGCGAAAGCCAGGGGAGCAAACGGG